rfam:Streptomyces sp. CdTB01, complete genome.
GGUCAUGAGUGUCAGCGACAAGCCCUGGCUUGCUGACCGGCAACCCUCGCACCGCGGUGGGGUGCCCCAGGUGACGACCCGGCCGAUGACCCAUCGGCAAGCGCGAGGC